GCCGUAGAGGCUGCUGUCGCGGACGGAAGAAUGAAGCUGCUAACAAAGAAAAAGCGAACGGCCAAGCAGUUCUGCUGUGUUCCUCGGUGCGUGCCAGCGAGAUGGAAGGACAGCGAUAUUUCCGUUCACGCACUUCCCUCCGAGUGGAAAGGCUGAAGCCGCAGAACCAGGUGGAUCGCUAACCUCCGCAUCGGCAAGGCUGUGACGCUUACAGUGACUGUUUGCUCACGGCAUUUUGCACGGGAUAAUUUCUCCUUACCAGAUGUAGCAUGUCAAAGACAGCGACUGAAAAAAAUGCAGUACCAACUGAAAACCUGCCAAGGACGUCAUGUUAUGAUGAGAACAAGGAUGCUCAUAUGAAAGAGCUUUCACUGGCAAGACUUCGCCGACGUGUGUAUCGGUCAGCCAGAAAUGAAUCAAGCAAAGAAACUGUUGCCUCCCCAUUAGAAGCAAAGGUGUUGCCCCAUGCACCUGUCAGCACGACCACCAUGGACGAUCUCCCAUCCCCUGACCGCAACAGCAUGGACCAAAUAAGUGACAAAGGAAAUAUGGACGAUUUCCCAUCCCCUAACAGCAUGGACCAAAGCCUUGCAAACACCAUAAGGGACG